GGGAAUAUUGCGCAAUGGAGGAAACUCUGACGCAGUGACGCCGCGUAUAGGAAGAAGGUUUUCGGAUUGUAAACUAUUGUCGUGAGGGAAGAAAUUGACAGUACCUCAGGAGGAAGCUCCGGCUAACUAUGUGCCAGCAGCCGCGGUAAUACGUAGGGGGCUAGCGUUAUCCGGAAUUACUGGGCGUAAAGGGUGCGUAGGUGGUUUCUUAAGUCAGAGGUGAAAGGCUACGGCUCAACCGUAGUAAGCCUUUGAAACUGGGAAACUUGAGUGCAGGAGAGGAGAGUGGAAUUCCUAGUGUAGCGGUGAAAUGCGUAGAUAUUAGGAGGAACACCAGUUGCGAAGGCGGCUCUCUGGACUGUAACUGACACUGAGGCACGAAAGCGUGGGGAGCAAACAGG
rnacentral:rRNA from 1 species